UCGGGAAGCAAUUUGGUUCGUCGAAAAAGGCCACGUGGGAUUCGGAAAAGACCAAUUAAAGACGGAUAAUCGUGAUAGCGAAUCGUUAAUAACUCUUACAACGAAUUUCAUUGUGACAUUGCACUUGAAAAAUUUUAUACUUGGCGCGAAAAGUCGAUUAAAGAGAAGAGGAUUAAUAUAGUACACGAUAGUAAAACGUUCUUGUAAUUCUCGUACUUUAAUGCGAAGCACUUUGAAACAGAGCGUCGAUGGAGCAAACACUCGUUCAACGACGACGAAAAGCAUCCCGUUCUGCUGAGGCACGAUUCGGUACUCUAACAACCAUCCUUCUCCUUCUCCUUUUUCUCCUCCUCCUCCUCCUCCUCCUCCUCCUCCUCCUCCUCCUCAUUCUCAUCCUCAUCCUCAUUCUCAACCUCUAUUUCUCCAUCUCCAGCAGCAUGUCGAGUGGUUCGAAGCAAUCCAAGUCCGCUCGCCGUUUCGCAUUAUCCGAGCGCGUGCAAUUUGCGAGUAGGAAGGAACUCUUUCCUAAAGUCGCAGCGCCAAACAAAUAAUUCUCUGCUCUCCUUUAUCGAGGUGAGAGCACUCUGUCUCGUAUUCUAGUCCAAGUACCGCGUCAUUGGAAUGGUGGAUGGGGCUUGCGAAAAGAGGGGCAAGGAAAGAGGAGGAGAAGGGGGCGGUAGCUUCCAAUUUGCGUCGAACCUCGACGAUUGUCGUUCCUGUGAGCCCGUCACAGGGAUUCGAAGCUUCUCAACGAGCCCCGCUUUCUAAAUGGAGAGAAAGAGAGAGGGAUAGAGAUAGAUAGAGAGAAACAGAGAGAGAGAGAGAGAGAGAGAGAGAGUAAAAAAGGAGGUGUUGCUGCGACAUCCACUAAGGUCGUGGCGUCGGCUGGGGAUCCGAUGAAAAGGCAAUUAGCCGAAUGAAAAUGUAACACGAGACCGCACGUGACUGCAGCGAGUUAGUGUAUACAAGAGAAAGAGAAAGAGAAAAAGAAAAAGAGAUAGAGAGAGAGAGAGAGAGAAAGAGAAAUAUAUAGGGUGAACCUCUCCUUUGGGUGAGCGUGUCGCGUAAUUGUCACUUUGUCAACGUGCGCGCGCUUCUCCUUCAUCUCUUCACCUCCACUUCCACCACCACCUUCAUCUCUCUCCCUUCCACCCGGCCCCACCUUCUCACUACAUCCCUUCCGGUAUACGAGGGGGCUCAGUAGUUUUUUCUCUCUUUUUGUCGGCCGUGAGAAGAGAGAAAGAGAGAGAAAGAGAGGGAGGGAGAGAGAGAGAGAGAGAGAGUCACUUGUUCUAAUUGACGGCGCGCGAGAUGCCGUCGUCUCACGACUAUCAUUCGUAAGUGGAAAUAGAGAGUGGAGUAAGAGGAAUAAAGAAGGGAUGAGGAAAGGAGAAGAAAAAAAAAAGAAAAAGAAAAUGAUAAAAACGGAUGUAAACGUGAGGGAAAAGAAGAAAUAGACCGGGAGACGGCAUGAUUCUCGCUUCUCUUUUUGCGGGAAGUCUUUUUGGGGGCUUGGAAAGUCACGAUUUCUCUGCGACAUGAAAAGAAAGAGAGAGAGAGAGAGAGAGAGAGAGUACGAUCGAAAGUUUCCUUCUCCUCUAUCCCUUCGUUCUAUGUCUCACCCAUUUCAGUUUGCACCCUUCAGUCCGACAGUAGCAGGAACCGCCCCCUCUUCCCUCUGCCACAGAAGGAACAUGCGAGAGUCGUUACCAUGAGACCAGAAGAGAGUUCUUCCUUUUUCACUUCCUCUAGCUUCCUAACGAUGUAUUUCCCGCUAUUGCUUUCCUGCGUGAACAAUGGCUGCAUGGAGCAGAAGGAGUAGAAGAGGAAGAAUGGAAGGACAGCUUCUCCUUUUCUUCCGUCUUCUGUCUUCCUACCGUAUAACCGGAGCCAAGAGUUAAGAAGAUAAAAGCGAGACAGACAGAUAGACAAAGAGAGAGAGAGAGAGAGAGAGAGAGAGAGAGAGAGAGAGAGAGAGAGAAAGAAAGAGAGGAAGAGGAAAAGGAUGCGCGAUGUAAAGGAGGCUGAGGUCGGAGGAGGAAUGGAAAGAGGUAGUACAGGCUCGGAUCAAUUGGAGGUAAUCCCUCGAGUAGAGUCUCCUGCUUCGCGGAGCAUGAAAUUCUUCCUGUCUCCUCUUGCUGCACGGACCUGUGAGAAGAGUGGCCUCCUUCCACCCACAUGCUUCUAUACUCUCUGGACGCAUCGACGUAUUUACCUAUCUGUGUGCACGAAUCAUGUUCGUGUUCGUGAUCGUCCACUCACGAGUAUGUAAGUGUACUUACGCUAUCGUGUCUCUAAGCGUUCGUGUAUGCGUGUGCCCUCGCUUCGAUGGCAUCCUCUCCUCUCUUCCCUUCUAAUCGCUCCUUAUCCGUCCCUUAUCCACGGCAUCAAGGGAUAUAUACGUGUGCCUUGAUUCGAACCAAUUACAUCGGUGGUUCACAAUUCAAUUUCGCCGAGAGAAAAAGAGCGAUAGAUCGACGUUAGCUAUUUAUCGAUUAUCGGGUGGUACCUAUAUACUCAACUCGUUAUUUUCAACCAACGAGAUAGACUUAAAUCUUUAACGUUCAAGAAUUUAUUCUUCUUCUUCUUCUUCUUCUUCUUUCUUUUAUCUUUUCUUUCUUUCUUUCUUUCUUUCUUUCUUGCUUUCUUUUUUUUUUCUUUCUUUUUUUCGUACACGAACAAGAAACAAUUGCAUUUUUUAUUACUUGCUCAGAACUUUUCAAUCGACCAUCGACAACGUUAUAUUCUAUUAUUUACUUCCGCUUCUACUUUUUCAAUAGGAUAUAUCUAUAGGUAAGUAAGGACACGCACAGAGAUUUCCUCUUUCAAGAACAAACAGACAUUCAAUUCGCUUUGAUAUUCAUCGAAUGUUUGGACGUCUCUAGCGUGCAUUUCCCAAUAUCAAAUUCCAUGCAUGAACGAGCAAAUACCCGAACAUCGGACUACGUUUCGAGUAUUAUCGACCGACUCCUUCGGUCUACUUAAUCCAAUGGAAUAUUCUCUAGUCUAGUAUCUACGCGAGAAAUUUUCUACAUUUCUCUCUCCCUCUCCCACUCUCUCUCUCUCUCUCUCUCUCUCUUGCUCUCUCUAAACGAUCGUCAUAAAAUACACGAAAAGGAAGAAAAUAGAAAUUUAUGAACUCAAUCUCGAUACGUACGUAGGUAAUAUCAUACAAACAUACAUACAUAUACAUAUACAUAUAUAUAUAUAUAUAUAUACACAUGUGUGUGUGUGUGUGUGUAUGCACAAGAUGUGUAGCUGAUUCUAAACGAAGAAAUAAAUCGACGUGAGACACAACUGCGAUGCAUUGAGAAUGGUAUAAAGCAGAAUAUUUUUCUGACUAUCCUCCUCCUUAUCCUCCUUCUACUCUCUCUCUCUCUCUCUCUCUCUCUCUUUCUCCUCUUCCUUCUCCUUUUCGUCUAUUUUUCUCCUCCUUCUUCGUGUAUCGUACGACCGGAGGGUAACAUUUUUCUCGCGAGUCAAAUCGCAACAAAGCUAUGGCGAUAGUGGCACGCGCUUUUUAUCGGCAUGCCAAAAUUGAUCGUAUGCUAUUUCUCUCUUCUUUCUCGUUUGAACGUAGAAACGAGAGAAAAAGAAAUUGGAUGAUAGAAGGUGAAUAGAAGGAGGAGGUGAGGAUGAAGGUGGAUGGAGUAUUUGAAGAGAGAGCGAGAGAGAGAGAGAGAGAGAGAAAGAGAGAAAAAGGGACGGGGUGAAUAUAUCGAAGGGUCGAUCGAGUCGCGUGGGCGAUGAAUUCCUUUACUCUUUACGUUUCUACUCUUUUACUCGUCGCAUUGUUUCCGAUACGCGAGAUUUAUAUUUGCCGCCACCAGCGGCCACUUUUUCUCUCGAUUGAUCUCAUUGUCCAUGAUCGUGAUUUAAGAAUCGCAUUAACGAACCACAUUCAAUCAAUUAUCCAAUGUAUCUAUCAUAGGAUUCCGCCAAUGUCACAUUUGACAUUUUGAUAUUUUUGAUUAAUGUAGCCGCGAUAUUGAUGAUCCUCGAAAUCUUUCUCAAAUUCAUAGCGAAAAAAAUAAAAAAAAGAAACAAAAAAGAAAGGAAGAAAAAAUAAUGCGAAGCUGUUCCUAAUUUUCGAGAUAUUAGAUAACUCGGUUCCUGGUAACGAGGGAAUCCUUGUUCUUGCUAUAAUUUGAUCGCGUGUCGAGGUUACGGCGAUGUACCGGCGCAGAUAAUUCUUCCUCUCUACGAACAAGCUUUUCACUGAUCCCAUCCUUAAGCAAAGACGGUUCGUGAAAAAUGAGCUCUGAGCUUCCUCGUAUCCUCUUUCGAGGAGUGUCUUCAAUUACGCGUCCGUGCAUGAAUCUUUGAAACGGAAAUUACGAGAAAGGAGGAAGAAGAAAAUAUUGAAAGGGAAGAAAGAGAGAGAGAGAGAGAGAGAGAAAGAGAAAGAGAGAAAGUGAAAACUUACGAAAACGAUUUUACACGCAGGGUGGCAUUAGACAGAAACGUCUUUUGAGUUCAUCCUCGUGUGGUUUGAAUUAAAGUUCCCGCAGCAAACUUCCGUUAAGACCCGACCAUAGAAGUCCACGCGCGUGGCGCCAAAGAAGAAGAGGAAAGAAAAAGAGGAUGAAGUAGAAACAGAAGAAAAAGAAGAAUAAGAAGAAGAAGAAGAAGAAGAAAAGUACAAGGAGAGAAGAACGAUAGCAUCGCAUCUCGCGUGGCAUCGCAUGUGUUUUCGUUUUACGUGUUGUACUUGCUCCACGAGAAAGAUCCAAGAAUAUCUUUGACUCUCACGGCCACCGUGGUUAAGGCUGACAAGGAUCGUCGAUAAAUGGAACACCCGUUGCAACUUUGUCGACUCUUCUUUGAGGAAAUUCCUAUGGUAAAACAUUCCUUUUUACGCGGGAAUAAAGUUCUUGGAAUAAUGUAACGAAACGACUGUGUUUGCGCGUCCUGUGGGUGGUUCUUUUUUUUCGACAAAAGAAGAAAAAAAAAUUAAAAAAAAAGAAGAAAAAAAAUAAGAGAAAAAUAGAAAAAGGAGGAGGAAUGCUGUUGUCACGAGGAAGCUUUCGGAAGUAUGGGAAAUAAGAAAAAAGAAAAAAAAAAAGAAAAAAAAAGAAAAAAAAAAUAAAUAAAAAAAGAAACAAAGCGUUCGAUAUAAUUUCGACGAGUUUACGAUCUUAAAAAAAGGCGAAACGAAAAUGAAACGAAUAAAUUUGAUUUCCCUUUAAUUCAACAAUUCACGUGACUAAAUCUAAUCCGUUUGUUAGAUAAGUCAAUGUACCACUAAUUAUCAUGAAAACCUUCAUCGAGAUAUAAGAUACAUCGUUGGAUUAUGUUAUUCGACUAAUACCUAUGCUCUCGGACGUACAUUUAUUAAACUGUACGGAUAAUAAAUUCGUAAGUAUGCUCGCGGAUACGAGAGUACGAGUGGGUGUGCGAAAUGGAAUUAUCGCGUGGAAUCGCGUCGAGACGACAGGCUCCAUGUAGUUUGUACGAUAAUAGGAUUAGAUUAUUACCUUAGAGACCAAACUCGUUAAAUUAUCUCGGAAAGUCGGAUUAUUACUUCGGGGGAAAAUCUGUCUUACCUUUAUUAUAUCCUUUUUCAUUGUUGACCAUUCGCAUAAUCAUAGAGCCCUUCUCCGACUCCUACCCCCCCCCCCCCCCCCCCCCUUAACCCCCGUGUUCCUUUGGGAAAAAUAAAAUCAUCGAAAAUUUUCUUUCUAUAAUAGAAAAGGACACUUUACAACGAAGAAAUAGAUUUUUCUCUAUUGUUUCUUAUGAUAUAUUAUAACGAUAGCAAAUUAUUAUCUUUCAUUUCAAUUUAAGAUUAUAUCUAUGAAUUUUCUAAUGCACCACGUCGUCAUUUUCAUCGUCAUCGUCAUUUUCGAGAUACACCGAUUAUACGAGAAUUAUCAUCUCCGUUCGACGUUGAACUUUCCUCUAAUUAAAUUCCUCAUAUAUUUUCGAAGGACUUUUAUAUCGACGUCAGCAAUCGUUUUUCUCGGAUGUACGGAAUAAUUCGUGCCUAUGCGAAAAGAAAAAGAGAAAUGAGAGGGUGAAAUGGAAAGAGAGAGAGAGAGAGAGAGAGAGAGAGAGAGAAAGUGAAAAAAAGCGGGAAAGCCAUUGUCGUUGCAACAAAGCCGCUUCUGGGUCCUGGCACGGGGUACUUCGUCGAUCGACGUUAAGGAGCCGACGAUGGAUCGUCGUUGUGACGGAGAGACCAGGAAUUUCACUCGUUGAAUAUGGAGGAAGAGAAAGAGAGAGAGAGAGAGAGAGAGAGAGAGAGAGAGAGCAAUGGUGUGAGACCAGAGGCCUGUCGAUCGUUCCUAAACGACGUGCAUUCAAGCCCGCAUCCGUUGUCAUGGAAAUCGAAGGACGGCUUCACCGUACCGACGUAUUGCCGACGUAACGGCGUUGAUGCGAUCGCGGAAGAAAGAGCCGCGGGCGACUUUAACUCGCCCCUUGCUACGAUGCACCCUCUACUCGAACGAAAAAUCCUCUUGCACCUUCGUUCGACCUUUCCCAAUUUAUCUCACAAAUUUUUUUUCAUCGAUCUCUCUAGUCCUCUCAUCCUUCUGCGAUAUUUUUAAAAAAGAGGAAAAAAGGAAGAAUAAUAAUAAAAAAGAAAAAAUACAAAAAUAAAAGGAGAAGAAAGUAUGAAUGAAUAAAUAAAUAAAUAAAUAAAUCAAUCAAUCAAUAAAUGAAUAUCGUAAUAAACGUUAUAGAGCUUACACGAGGGAAUAAGUAAGACGAAAGGAAGGAAGGAAGGAAUUUGAGCUCGUACGUGGUCUCGACCUGAAAGGACUUCGACCUUCUCGUAAAUUGGCGUAAACUACACCUGGCGUAAAUUCGCGUGCGAACGCGACAGGUUUCAUUAACGCCCGCGUUCCUGACUAUCAUACACGUGGGACGUAAGAUCUCCUAUCCUGGCAGGAGCAACAUUGUACCGUGUACCGUGCAUCUGGCCUGUGUUAUCUAAAAUAUAUACAUAUAUAUAUAUAUAUAUAUGUAUAUAUACAUACGUUUCUAACGUAUACAUGCAUAUGCAUGUUGCACGUACGCACGUAACUACUUACUAGAGCUAGGGACGAUAAACUUCCUAGACUUCCAACGGUAGCAACACUCGAGGUAUUUAUCUGCUUAUCUUUCGGGUUGGUUGUCGUGCACCCUUAAACCUUAUUACAAUUCCACUUUCCCAUGUUUUCCAUGAACGCUAACAAUUUUUUUGUCUUUCGUUUUUCAAAAUCCUACAUUUCCAACGACCUUCUAAUCCUCGUUCUAAAUUCCACAUUUAUAAUUCUUAAUAUUAUCUCAGAUAGAAACAAAUUUUUUUGUAUGUACGUCGAAGAUGAAAUAUUCGUCGAAUUCGAGACAAAAAAAAAAAAAGAAAAGAAAAGAGAAAAAAAAAGGAAAAGGAGAAAGAAAAUAAAAUGAAAAUCACACGAUUACACGAUCAUACGAGUAAUUUCGGACGAACUAAGAAAUUUAUAUAUGUCGUAUGAAGUACGCUAUAUAUGAAAAUGACUUUCGGAAGUGUCUUUCCAGAGAUGGGAAAUUACCGCAACGUUCUCUUACCAAGUAAUACCGGAAGAUGGUGUAACACUUUGAAAGUGACCACGAGUAACUGCGAUCACCAAGUUGGUAGAUACUGGAGCUAGCUACGUUUAUGAGAGAAGUUAUGUGAUCUCAUACGGAUAAUCUCUUUAAGACCGGACCUUCGGACGGAAGGGCAAACAAAUUUCACUCGUGACAACAGAAAAUCACAUUCGCAAUCAAGAGAGGCGAGCAUAUCAAAAAGGUUUUCGCGUGAACGAUCCGACGAGCAAUUAUGUUCACCGACUACGUUAAUGCGGUCGAAGCUUUUUUUCGAGAAAGGAAAAAGCUUUUUGGACGAUUCAGCCCAAAGAUGAGGAUGAAAAAAAAAAAUGUCGGGUGGAAGGAACGCAAAAUAAAAUAUGAUAAUCCUUAUGAUUAACCUUAUAUCGAUGCAUUGCCGACGACGAUGGUGACCAUUACUAAGAUCUUACUUCUACCCUAAACUCAUCGACCAUUCGAUGAAGGUGAAAGUUUUCUUCUUCGGAGGGUUGCCGAAGAAAAUUACCGGAUGGAAAAAAGUAAGAAAAAAGAAAAAACAAAAAAAAAAAAAGAAGAAGGAGAAAGAAAAAAGUAAAGGAAAACGGGAAGAACGUGUCUCUCGUUUCGAACUUCGAGAUCGGAACCUUCGCGAUCGUUUCCAACGUCGCUCGUGCCUUUACUCGUGCGUUUCAUCUACACACACGUACACGCGCACAUACACACACACACAUACGCAUACAUACAAAUACAAAGACACAUGCAUAUACAUAUACAUAUACACGUGCACUCGUUUCUCGUUGGGGUGAAAAGAAACUUUAUUCGUUCCGGUCUAACCGAGAGUUCCAGUAGAGGAGGUUCUAGUGAGGACGCAAAAAAAAAAAAAAAAAGAAAAAUCCGUGAUUAGAUGGCGGAGAUGUAACCACGUGGUUCUCCUCUUUACUCUUUCGCUCAGAAACCGCUCAAACUUUUCUAUUUUUUUUUUCCCCCUCCAACUCUCCGAGAGUAGUUACCUCUAUUUCUUUCACGCAGAUAGAUACGAUCGACUACCGGGUAACUCGUAAAAUAUUCCUAAACUCGCUUGAAAUUAGGAAGGGCAAGGGAAAAGGAAAAAAAAAAGAAAAAAAGAAAAAAAUAGAUAAAAAGAAAAAGAAAGAGAAAGAAAGGGGAAAGAAAAUGAACAAAGCGAAGAGAAAUAAUCGAGUCCAUUGUCGUUUCGUACGACGUUCUCAUGUAGGACGAUUAAUCGGAUCGUUAAGAGCAAUUACAUACAUACCUGUUUGUCGAUCAUUCAUUCAAUGGUUUUAACUGGAUCAUGCUCGAUGUUACGAAUUUACGAGAGUAUUCAAGGAGAGUUCGAGCGAGCUAUCGAAACGCGUUUCUAUGCAAGCAUGCAUUCACGUACUAGGUACCAAGUAGGUAAACGAAGAAAAAAAAUAAUUAAUGCGUUGGCUGGGUGUAUGUGUAUUAACGAUAAGUAUAUAUAGGUGUGUGUAUAUAUAUAUAUAUAUAUAUACAUAUACUAUGUACAAAACGUAAUCUCGCUUGUGCUUUGAUACGGAGCACUUGUAAGCGAACAGGGUACCUGGCAUUCACACGACACAUGGCCCAUUACGAAUUAAUGUAGCAUUUCACGGCGAAUUAAUUACACGGAGCGAGAACUCCCGAGUGCUCUCCAGUACGAAAGAGAGCCGCCCGAGCCGCUGAGUCACCCGACUGCUACUCGAGCACCAAAUCGUUUUAAUGGAACAACUGUUACCCGUCAAGCCUACUUUUGCCUCGGAGCAUUGCAUGAGCGAGAGCUCAGAGCCUCGUAGCUCAGAGCACGCGACAACGCGCGAUUUUUCCGCUCCGAUUGUUACCGCGAAAUGCAACCACGUUUCUACGGAAAACCGUAACGCUAACCCCCCUCGCCAGCCCUCCCCCCUCCCAAAAAAAGAACCCAACCCCGUCCUGUCCCAUACCAUUCCGCUUAUACCGUUACAACCAACUCGAGUUGAGCUUUACUUGUUGCGAUCCGCUUACGAAAUACCAUUGUACUUUCGUUCUUUCGUUUCGAUAAAUUCGAAUGGCUUUGAAUUGAAAUUUUCUCGCAGAUUUCUUGUUUAUAUUUCUUUUUCUUUUUUUCCUUUUUUCUUUUUCUUUAGCUCU